AUUGAACGCUGGCGGCAUGCUUUACACAUGCAAGUCGAACGGUAACAGGCCGCAAGGUGCUGACGAGUGGCGAACGGGUGAGUAAUGCAUCGGAACGUGCCCAGUCGUGGGGGAUAACGCAGCGAAAGCUGCGCUAAUACCGCAUACGAUCUAUGGAUGAAAGCGGUGGACCGUAAGGCCUCGCGCGAUUGGAGCGGCCGAUGUCAGAUUAGGUAGUUGGUGGGGUAAAGGCUCACCAAGCCAACGAUCUGUAGCUGGUCUGAGAGGACGACCAGCCACACUGGGACUGAGACACGGCCCAGACUCCUACGGGAGGCAGCAGUGGGGAAUUUUGGACAAUGGGCGCAAGCCUGAUCCAGCAAUGCCGCGUGCAGGAAGAAGGCCUUCGGGUUGUAAACUGCUUUUGUACGGAACGAAACGGCGAGCUCUAAUACAGUUUGCUAAUGACGGUACCGUAAGAAUAAGCACCGGCUAAAUAAGUGCCAGCCGCCGCCGUAACAC
rnacentral:rRNA from 1 species